rnacentral:rRNA from 1 species
CUCCGGUGAUCCUGCCGGACCCGACUGCUAUCAGAGUGGGACUAAGCCAUGCGAGUCGACGUAGCAAUGCGUGGCGAACGGCUCAGUAACACGUAGUCAACAUGCCCAGGGGACGUGGAUAACCUCGGGAAACUGAGGAUAAACCACGAUAGGUCACGAUUUCUGGAAUGGAUCAUGGCCUAAAUCUACAUGGCCCCUGGAUUGGACUGCGGCCGAUCAGGCUGUUGGUGAGGUAAUGGCCCACCAAACCUAUAACCGGUACGGGCUCUGAGAGGAGAAGCCCGGAGAUGGGCACUGAGACAAGGGCCCAGGCCCUAUGGGGCGCAGCAGGCGCGAAACCUCUGCAAUAGGCGAAAGCCUGACAGGGUUACUCUGAGUGAUUUCCGCUAAGGGGAUCUUUUGGCACCUCUAAAAAUGGUGCAGAAUAAGGGGUGGGCAAGUCUGGUGUCAGCCGCCGCGGUAAUACCAGCACCCCGAGUGGUCGGGACGAUUAUUGGGCCUAAAGCAUCCGUAGCCGGUUCUGCAAGUCUUCCGUUAAAUCCAGCCGCUCAACGGAUGGGCCGCGGAGGAUACUACAGGACUAGGAGGCGGGAGAGGCAAGCGGUACUCAGUGGGUAGGGGUAAAAUCCUUUGAUCCAUUGAAGACCACCAGUGGCGAAGGCGGCUUGCCAGAACGCGCUCGACGGUGAGGGAUGAAAGCUGGGGGAGCAAACCGGAUUAGAUACCCGGGUAGUCCCAGCUGUAAACGAUGCAGACUCGGUGAUGGGCUAGCCUUGUGCCAGCCCAGUGCCGCAGGGAAGCCGUUAAGUCUGCCGCCUGGGGAGUACGGUCGCAAGACUGAAACUUAAAGGAAUUGGCGGGGGAGCA